UACGUAGGGGGCAAGCGUUGUCCGGAUUUAUUGGGUCGUAAAGCGCGUGUAGGUGGCCAAGUAGGUCCGCUGUGAAAACUUGAGGCUCAACCUCAAGCUGUCGGUGGAAACCCCUUGGCUAGAGUCCGGAAGAGGAGAAGUGGAAUUCCUGGUGUAGCGGUGAAAUGCGCAGAUAUCAGGAAGAACACCAAUGGCGAAGGCAGCUCUCUGGGACGGUACUGACACUGAGACGCGGAAAGCGAUGGGGAGACGAACAGG
rnacentral:rRNA from 1 species